rnacentral:lncRNA from 10 species
UCCCAGAGUUCUGGGAUUACAGGUGUGAGCCAUCUUGCUCAUUCUAGUUUAAACUUUUGAGUGGUUUGUGUCUCCUGAUUGGACUCCUACAAAUACAGAAUUGAUGCUAGGAAGGGUACCAGGAGAUAGACGCACACAGAUGGGAUUUGGGAAUAGGUUUGGUUAUCCAAGGAGCAGUGCUGAGCUCCUUGCAAUGGGAUAUGGGAUGCUGGUGAUUUCCAGGAAGUGCGCUCACAAUGACUCAAGCUGCCACAUACUGUUGAUUGUGAAAUGCCAGUUGAAGCAUAUGUCCUGCAAGCUUAGGGGUGCUACAAGUUGACCACUGCAGCAGUAAAGAUGACUCUGAAGAACGGCGUGGGAUGGUUCCUUUCAAAUGCACUUGAGCAGCGGUCUCCAACCACAGGGCCACAGAGCUGGAGCUGGAUCUACCAUGAAAGACUUGUGAAUCCAGGAAGAGAGACUGACUGGGCAACAUGUUAUUCAGGUACAAAAAGAUUUGGACUGUAACUUAAAAAUGAUCAAAUUAUGUUUCCCAUGCAUCAGGUGCAAUGGGAAGCUCUUCU